rnacentral:rRNA from 1 species
GUGAGGAAUAUUGGACAAUGGAUGGAAAUCUGAUCCAGCCAUGCCGCGUGCAGGAAGACGGCCCUAUGGGUUGUAAACUGCUUUUAUAUGGGAGCAAUAAGGUCUAUGCAUAGAUUGAUGAGAGUACCGUAUGAAUAAGCAUCGGCUAACUCCGUGCCAGCAGCCGCGGUAAUACGGAGGAUGCGAGCGUUAUCCGGAUUUAUUGGGUUUAAAGGGUGCGUAGGCGGCUUUGUAAGUCAGCGGUGAAAUUUUGCAGCUUAACUGUAAAAGCGCCGUUGAUACUGUGAAGCUAGGAUUUGGUUGCUGUGGGCGGAAUGUGUGGUGUAGCGGUGAAAUGCAUAGAGAUCACACAGAAUAUCGAUUGCGAAGGCAGCUCACAAAGCCAAUAUUGACGCUGAGGCACGAAAGUGUGGGGAUCAAACAGGAUUAGAAACCCCUGUAGUCC